rnacentral:rRNA from 1 species
AUUGAACGCUGGCGGCAUGCUUUACACAUGCAAGUCGAACGGUAACAGGUUAAGCUGACGAGUGGCGAACGGGUGAGUAAUGCAUCGGAACGUGCCCGAUCGUGGGGGAUGACACUUCGAAAGAAGUGCUAAUACCGCAUACGAUCUGAGGAUGAAAGCGGGGGACCGUAAGGCCUCGCGCGAUCGGAGCGGCCGAUGUCAGAUUAGGUAGUUGGUGGGGUAAAGGCUCACCAAGCCGACGAUCUGUAGCUGGUCUGAGAGGACGACCAGCCACACUGGGACUGAGACACGGCCCAGACUCCUACGGGAGGCAGCAGUGGGGAAUUUUGGACAAUGGGCGCAAGCCUGAUCCAGCAAUGCCGCGUGCAGGAAGAAGGCCUUCGGGUUGUAAACUGCUUUUGUACGGAGCGAAAAGGCUCCCUCUAAUACAGGGGGCUCAUGACGGUACCGUAAGAAUAAGCACCGGCUAACUACGUGCCAGCAGCCGCGGUAA